AUUCGAUAUAUCGUUGUUAAAACUGAUUUAUAUCAGUUCGACGUUUCGUGCAAGUCGGUGGAAUGCAAGUUUACCAUUCGUUGAUUCAAGAACCGACGUGUAACUAAUGCGUCGGAAGUGAUUAUCAUAAUGAGAAGAUCGCGUUAACCAUAAUUUGUCUGCUAGAGUUAGCUGUUCGAGGAAUACGGGCUUGUUUACAAACGAGCUUCGAAGCUAUCGGUGUUUGGAUUUGACAUCCGAUCCGAGUAAUACGAAAAUUCAAAGUAUCUGCACGUAGCUGCUAUAAGACGGUGCGAACGAAGGGGUUUAUGGCAUCGUUCAGAAGUCGAAGAUAAAAAAGAAAAAUGUUCAAUACAUUUUCCAACGGUAUGCUGAAAAUUCUCGUCAUUAAAGUGUUAUAGAGGGAAGAAGGAAGGGUUGUUUCUGCAAGCAAUAAGUCCACAAACGUUGAUUUACCUAUGAUGACCAAAAGGACGGUACCUUUCCAACGAAUUCGUCGAAUCCCUUAAACUGAACAAAGGUUAAAGAACGAUGUUAGAAGAGGAAAAAGUAAACUGGUGUUGUCAAGAUUUUGUCGAUGUGUAUAGUGGAUGACUGGACACGUGGAAAAGCAAGUCCAGCUUGUAAAUUUAUGCAAUCCGGUCGAUGCGUGGAAAAAAAAGGAUUGGACCGA